rnacentral:rRNA from 1 species
GACGAACGCUGGCGGCGUGCCUAAUACAUGCAAGUAGAACGCUGAAGGAGGAGCUUGCUCUUCUGGAUGAGUUGCGAACGGGUGAGUAACGCGUAGGUAACCUGCCUGGUAGCGGGGGAUAACUAUUGGAAACGAUAGCUAAUACCGCAUAACAGUAGAUGUUGCAUGACAUUUACUUAAAAGGUGCAAUUGCAUCACUACCAGAUGGACCUGCGUUGUAUUAGCUAGUUGGUGGGGUAACGGCUCACCAAGGCGACGAUACAUAGCCGACCUGAGAGGGUGAUCGGCCACACUGGGACUGGGACACGGCCCAGACUCCUACGGGAGGCGGCAGUAGGGAAUCUUCGGCAAUGGACGGAAGUCUGACCGAGCAACGCCGCGUGAGUGAAGAAGGUUUUCGGAUCGUAAAGCUCUGUUGUAAGAGAAGAACGAGUGUGAGAGUGGAAAGUUCACACUGUGACGGUAUCUUACCAGAAAGGGACGGCUAACUACGUG